rnacentral:lncRNA from 1 species
UCUUUUUUUUUGUGGUGAGAAAUAAGUAAAGGCAGUUCCGAAUUUGUCUCUGUUUUUUGUUUUUUUUUUUUUUGUGAUUCGGAAAAUCUCCGAAAGAUAGCUAUUCAAACUUUACUUCUACGCAGCUUUUGUUUGUUUAUUUCUUUUGGAAAUUUGACUAUUUUGGAAGUAUCUAAUUAUUCGACUAUAGAAUAAAAUAAUUUUAGUUGGCAUGUGAAUAUGUUUUAUUGUGAAAUUUAAAAAAAAGUAUUUUUUUUAAAUAAGUAAAAAAGUUAAUUUUAAAAAUUGAAGUUGUUUUUUUUACUUUAAGUGAAAAUACUUUUUUAUUAUUAUUUAAAUCUUUUGAAAAUUCUAUAAUUCAACUUUGGGUUAAAUUUCUAAAUUUUAUGGCUAAAUAUAAAGUGAAAAAGAAAAUCAGAGCCAAAUGCCUUCUUAUUAUCAAUUUUAAUUUUGGUACAAAAUAAUCAUUGUUAUUAGUCAAAUAAUUUUAAAAUAUCUUUGUCACUAAGUAGGCGUUAGGUCAUACGAUAUCAAUUCAUAAUAUGAAAUUAGUAUUUGGACAUGCGAUUUCACGCUGAUUUCAUCUCAUGAUUUCGUAUCAUGAAAUGAAAUCUCAAAUUCUCCAAAGACCAUGAUUUGGGAAUUCCAUAUCAUGAUUUAGGAUUUUUCAAAUACAAAAAUUGACCAACAAGUUUAUAUUUUGUUAAAAAAAAUACAUUUAUAUCUACUAGCCAUUUUUUAAUAUGUAAAUAAAAUUUAUAAUUCAUAUAAUUACUUUUAAACCGUUUAUAUCUCAUACAACAAUUAUUCUUGUCAAUAAAAAAAAAUUACUUCAGAUUUAUUCUUAAUUUACCAUUGUUUACCAAAUUCAUGAUUUUUUAAUCAAAUUUAUUACCAUUUCAUUCAAAUCAUUGUUAGAUGAAAAAGUAAAUUAAUCAUUAUAUUGAGCGAACAAGACUAAUCAUUGUGACAUUAAUUGAAAAACAGUUUUCUUAGCUAUUAACAACUUAAACAUUAUAACUUAUAUUCAAUUUAAUUUUUUUUAUUGAAUUAAGGUUUGAUCAAUAAAUGUUGUAUUUUUUAGAAUAGUUUUGUUAGGGUAUUAUGCAAUUUUUAUUUUAUUUUUUUACUUAUUUGGUAAGAUUGUAUGAAAAAUUGAAACAAUUUUAAUAGUUUCACAACUUAUGAGGUUUUUAUGAUUAUGUGAAAAUAUACAUCAUAAAAAGUCCAAACCGCAUGUCCAAACAAAACUUUAACUUCAUCUCAUGAUUUCAUAUCGCACAGUUAAACUCAACUCAAAUGAUAAAAAAAGAUUCAAUUUUAUCCUUGAAUUGUUCAAAAUAGAAGAAUUUCACCCAAUAAUUUUUUAUAUUUCAAACACAAAUUUAAAUAUAUCUUUUUUCACAUUCAUUAUCAAUGCAACUAAUAUUUAAAACAAUUUUUGUUAAUACAAAAAAUUGAAAAAAGUACUUUAUCUAAAAAAUUGAAAAUGUUACGAAUAUCAAUGACAAUUAUAAAAUAACGUACUUAAUAAGAUAAAGAAUAAAAAGGAUAAGCAAAGGAAGAUUAAUAAGAAGUUCUAAAAUUUGUAGUGCAAAUAUAUAAUUAUAUUUAAUUGGGAAUUAAUACUUUAUACAAAUAUUUUUUUGUUGUUAAGCAAAUUGAACAAACUAUAGAAUUAUUGACUAACUAGGCAAUAUAUAUGCGCUUCACAUAGUUAUAAAUAACUUCAUUAAGCUUAGAACAUCCUUUUCAAUAUUAUAUUAUUAAAAAAAUAAGUAAAUUAUGAUAAAAACUACGGUACAUUUUUUUAAGAAUGUUUCAUAAAAAAAUUAUUAGAUAUUAUUACAUAUCUCAAUUCUCAAAGACUAUAGAUUUAUAAUUCGUUUUUGAAAAAGUCUUGAUGUCCGAUCAAUUUCAUCUUUUACAUAUUUCUUUAUCUAACAUUUGUUUGUUGAUAUAAUUAUUUUUUCAAUGUUAAUUGAUCUUUUUAUCAAAUCAUUAAUCAUCAGUACUUUUUAUCUUUUCAUACACGUAAAGAUCUAUAUAAUUUUUCAUCAUAAUUGUGGAGGAUAUCUUUGUAAAUAAAUAUUUUUAUGCAAUGCAUAUUAUUUUUAAUACAUCAAAUCAUGUAUAAGAAAUAAUUAUGUAAAAUCAAUACAAGCAUUACUAAUACAUUCUAUUUAAUGUCAUUCUUGUACACCUUAAUUACCAAAUGAUCUUUUAGAUACAUACUCUGCACAGUUAGAGAAAGGUAGGAGCAUUGUGGAGGUCGAAGUUUAAUCGGUUGCCUUUUGUUGAUCUUCAUAUUAUUAUUUUUAUAUUUUCUUUUGGAUGAUUUAUUAUUUUUCUUUCAAGUUUAUGUGGAGCUAAACUUCACGUUCUGAAAAUCUGAUAAACCAUGAAUAUUGACGUUUGACGAUUAUUUUCAAUCUUAAUAUGAAUUAUCAAUUGUGAUUGUUUCUUUAAUUUUGUGCACAAUUGGUUGAUUGUUUGACAAACAUUUAGGUUCUAUCAACUACUUGAGACAUGCUUGAGAGAGAUUAUUCUUAGACUAGAGAAGAAUUAAAGAAGACUUGAUCUAAUUUCGUUAAAUUUAUGUCUAAGAUAAAGAUAUAUUUGGUUAUUUUGUUCAAUUAAAUAUCGUAAACUCAAUGCGUUCUUAAUAAAUUAAUUUCAUAAAAAUACAAUUGUGACAAUAGAUUUUGAAUAGACAAGUAAUAGUUUAGGAGAAUAAUACGAGUAAAUCUAAUCAGAUUAAUUAGCAAAUCAAUUCUGAAGAGACAGUUUGAGAACUCAAUAGGAUUGGUGAACCAACCGGAGAGUCCCUAACAUUCAUCUCAUUUGAUAACAUAAAAUCCACUACUUGUUUGUUACAGUUCAUUAUUGAUUUUAUUUUUAUUUUAGUUGGUUCAUAAUUAUAACUGAAAAAGUAAUAAGAAUAAGAGGUGUUAAGUUUUUUUAUCAUCCUGGCGUCGAGCUCCUCUCCUCUUUACUAAAAUAUUAUUUCGGAUGAAUGGGGAAUUAUGUCGUUUUUUUAUCCGCAGAAUAAGACUUAGGAGCUCUCUCUUUUAUGGCAGAGAUCUCUCCAUACCAAGAAAGUGAAUCACAAUGGAUCGAAGCCCUCCCUUUCCUUUCAUUUAGUGAGAUUCUAUCUCUUACUUGGAAAAUUGUGGUCAAGCCCUCCCUUUAUUCUUCGGAAUCGAGCGGGCAGCAAGAAUUAGAAUCAACCUAUAUAACAUUUGUUUCGAUGUAGUCGGCAUUCUAGAAGCAAAGCUUCCUGGUUGCCUGCCUCCUUGUGCAUAAAUGCGUUUCAUGAUCUCUAGCUCUUUCCCAUCAGCUCGUUCUUUACUAGGCAUCUAGACGAACCUGGUUUACAUCUUGAUUAACAUUAGUUUAAUUUAGUAAAUAAUUAAUCACAAGUCCUUAUUGGGCGAUACUACUCUUAUCACAUUAUUAUUUGUUCGACUACAUAUACUUAAAGAGUAAACAAUAACCUCAUAUUUCUUUUUUCCCUUUCUAAACAUCACUAAUUUUGUUCAAUGUUUAAUGCAUCACAAAUUGAAGGAUUAUUGAAAGAGGUUGCUAGAAGUGGAGAAGGAAAAAUACAAUACUUCAAUUGAAGAGUCUAAGAGAUACAACAUCAAGAGAAGUAGUUAAAGUUGAUUAUAGUAUCACAUAAUAAUACACAAAGUUUAAAGAGAGAGUCCAGAUUCUUCAUCAUCAUCAAUUCCAGAAGUGUAGACAGUGUAGAGAGACCAAAUCAAACCAAAUACACCAAAAAGGAUCCAACCAAGAAGAUUGUUGCUGAGUCCAAAUG